AUUGAACGCUGGCGGCAGGCUUAACACAUGCAAGUCGAACGAGUGGCGGACGGGUGAGUAAUGUCUGGGAAACUGGCUGAUGGAGGGGGAUAACUACUGGAAACGGUAGCUAAUACCGCGUACCAUAAGAGGAGCCCAAAUGGGAUUAGGUAGUUGGUGGGGUAACGGCUCACCAAGGCGACGAUCCCUAGCUGGUCUGAGAGGAUGACCAGCCACACUGGGACUGAGACACGGCCCAGACUCCUACGGGAGGCAUCAGUGGGGAAUAUUGCACAAUGGGGGCAACCCUGAUGCAGCCAUGCCGCGUGUAUGAAGAAGGCCUUCGGGUUGUAAAGUUCUUUCGGUAGCGAGGCGUUACCCGCAGAAGAAGCACCGGCUAACUCCGUGCCAGCAGCCGCGGUAAUAC
rnacentral:rRNA from 1 species